ACGGAGGAUCCGAGCGUUAUCCGGAUUUAUUGGGUUUAAAGGGAGCGUAGAUGGGUUGUUAAGUCAGUUGUGAAAGUUUGCGGCUCAACCGUAAAAUUGCAAUUGAUACUGGCAGUCUUGAGUACAGUUGAGGUAGGCGGAAUUCGUGGUAUGCCGCUGAAUUGCGUAGAUAUGACAUUGAAGUUCGAUAGUGUGGUCAUCAAACAGAAUUAUAACUCGUUGUGGUCCUGCUAACUGUCGGUUCUGGUGAG
rnacentral:rRNA from 1 species